rnacentral:rRNA from 1 species
AGUGAACGCUGGCGGUAGGCCUAACACAUGCGAGUCGAACGGCAGCACAGUAAGAGCUUGCUCUUACGGGUGGCGAGUGGCGGACGGGUGAGGAAUACAUCGGAAUCUACUUUUUCGUGGGGGAUAACGUAGGGAAACUUACGCUAAUACCGCAUACGACCUACGGGUGAAAGCAGGGGAUCUUCGGACCUUGCGCGAUUGAAUUAGCCGAUGUCGGAUUAGCUAGUUGGCGGGGUAAAGGCCCACCAAGGCGACGAUCCGUAGCUGGUCUGAGAGGAUGGUCGGCCACACUGGAACUGAGCCACGGUCCAGACUCCUACGGGAGGCAGCAGUGGGGAAUAUUGGGCAAUGGGCGCAAGCCUGAUCCAGCCAUACCGCGUGGGUGAAGAAGGCCUUCGGGUUGUAAAGCCCUUUUGUUGGGAAAGAAAAGCAGCAGGUUAAUACCCCGCUGUUCUGACGGUACCCAAAGAAUAAGCACCGGCUAACUUCGUG